AUGAACGCUGGCGGCGUGCCUAAUACAUGCAAGUCGAACGAGGUGGAUGGGAGCUUGCUCCUUGAUAUCGAGUGGCGAACGGGUGAGUAACACGUAGGUAACCUGCCCUUAAGCUUGGGAUACCAGAGGAAACUUUGGCUAAUACCGGAUAACAACAGAAGAGGCAUCUCUUCAGUUUGAAAGGCCCUUUACGGGGUCACUUAAGGAUGGACCUGCGGCGCAUUAGCUAGUUGGUGAGAUAAAAGCCCACCAAGGCGAGGAUGCGUAGCCGACCUGAGAGGGUGAUCGGCCACAUUGGAACUGAGACACGGUCCAAACUCCUACGGGAGGCAGCAGUAAGGAGUUUUCGGCAAUGGGGGAAACCCUGACCGAGCAACGCCGCGUGAGUGAUGACGGCCCUAUGGGUUGUAAAGCUCUGUUGUAAGGGACGAACAACCGUUUAGGAAAUGAAACGGUUCUGACGGUACCUUACCAGAAAGCCACGGCUAACUACGUGCCAGCAGCGGC
rnacentral:rRNA from 1 species